GCUCAACCGGGGAGGGUCAUUGGAAACUGGGGAACUUGAGUGCAGAAGAGGAGAGUGGAAUUCCACGUGUAGCGGUGAAAUGCGUAGAGAUGUGGAGGAACACCAGUGGCGAAGGCGACUCUCUGGUCUGUAACUGACGCUGAGGCGCGAAAGCGUGGGGAGCGAACAGGAUUAGAUACCCUGGUAGUCCACGCCGUAAACGAUGAGUGUUAAGUGUUAGAGGGUUUCCGCCCUUUAGUGCUGCAGCAAACGCAUUAAGCACUCCGCCUGGGGAGUACGGUCGCAAGACUGAAACUCAAAGGAAUUGACGGGGGCCCGCACAAGCGGUGGAGCAUGUGGUUUAAUUCGAAGCAACGCGAAGAACCUUACCAGGUCUUGACAUCCUCUGACAACCCUAGAGAUAGGGCUUCCCCUUCGGGGGCAGAGUGACAGGUGGUGCAUGGUUGUCGUCAGCUCGUGUCGUGAGAUGUUGGGUUAAGUCCCGCAACGAGCGCAACCCUUGAUCUUAGUUGCCAGCAUUCAGUUGGGCACUCUAAGGUGACUGCCGGUGACGAACCGGAGGAAGGUGGGGAUGACGUCAAAUCAUCAUGCCCCUUAUGACCUGCGCUACACACGUGCUACAAUGGGCAGAACAAAG
rnacentral:rRNA from 1 species